rfam:Psychromonas ingrahamii 37, complete genome.
UAGAUGAUCCCCCUCCAUUUUUCUUGCAAUGAACAAACGCUUUAGCAAGUGAAACCCGGACGGUUUCACCAGGUCUGGCAUGCACAGGGAUGUGCAUUCCGGACUGGUGCGUUAAAAAGCGAUUGGGCAGUGCAAGAUCAAAAAAUGGCUAGGGGUGGCACUCU